rnacentral:tRNA from 2 species
GGGGCGUUAGCUCAGCUGGUUAGAGCAGCGGACUCAUAAUCCGUCGGUCGCGGGUUCAAGUCCCGCACGCCCUA